AGGUAUUAUUGUCAAAGUUAUAUGGCUCACGCGGGACAUUCUAUUUUACUUCACAUUCGCCUGGUGAACACGUCAUUUGCUUAGAAUCUAAUUCUACGAGGCUUGUGUCAUUCGGAGGGAGUGAGCUGCGGAUCCACUUAGAGAUUCGUGUUGGAGAACAUGACCUUGAUGCAGCCAUUGCUCAAGCAAAGGACAAAGUUAAUGAAGUUAGUUUUAAGCUUGAACAUCUAAUUGAGCAAAUUGAACAAAUAGUCAAAGAACAAAACUAUCAAAGGGACCGUGAAGAAAAUUUUCGAAUGACCAGUGAAGAUACAAAUAGCAAUGUUUUAUGGUGGGCUUUUGCACAAACAUUAAUCUUCAUCUCAAUUGGAAUUUUCCAAAUGAAGUACCUUAAAGACUUCUUUAUAGCUAAGAAGCUUGUUUAAAAUGUUGAUAAAGAUAAAUAACUGCUAAUUUGCAUAAUGUUUGAGUUAAUAAAUCAAAUACACUCAUAAAUGUGGAUUACUUUUGAGACUUGGAGACUUCAGAGGUUGAAAUUAAUGUUACAGCAUUGCAACACUGAUAAAAUGUCACUUUAACAAUGUGGUUCCUGAGUUUGAUAGAUUAA